AACGUAGGUCACAAGCGUUGUCCGGAAUUACUGGGUGUAAAGGGAGCGCAGGCGGGAAGACAAGUUGGAAGUGAAAUCCAUGGGCUCAACCCAUGAACUGCUUUCAAAACUGUUUUUCUUGAGUAGUGCAGAGGUAGGCGGAAUUCCCGGUGUAGCGGUGGAAUGCGUAGAUAUCGGGAGGAACACCAGUGGCGAAGGCGGCCUACUGGGCACAAACUGACGCUGAGGCUCGAAAGUGUGGGUAGCAAACAGG
rnacentral:rRNA from 1 species